AGGUGCUCAUUGGGUUUCAUAUCUCAUUGUAUUCUUGGAUCCAGGUCCAUUUUAAGUCAGCCAUUUAAUUCUUGGUUACAUGUUUCUUAUGGCAUAUAUUCAUUCAUUCAUUUCAACCACGAUUCGAUCUGAUCUACGGAUUUUGUCAUUGCAUUCGUCAUUGCAUCAUGGCGGCAUAUCUCCUUUUCAAAUUAAUUUUAAUCUCAAGGUUGAUUUUGACUCCAAAUUGAC
rnacentral:lncRNA from 1 species